rnacentral:tRNA from 1 species
UUCCCGGUGGUCCAGUGGUUAGGACUCCACACUCCCAAUGCAGGGGGCCCAGGUUCAAUACCUGCUCAGGGAA